AACGGGUCUGUGGGGGGAGGGCGGCAGUGGACCCACGUUAGGACCCUCUCCCAUCAGGAGACGGUCAGGGAGCUCUCUGAUGGGGGAAAGGGACAGAGUGACUUGUCCUUUAGACACAGAGAGAAGAGCACAAAUGGAAAACACCACAGGAUGCUGCAAACGGGUUAACGCCACCGUGGUCUCAGCACGCUGUGUGCCUGCUGGCUUCCGGCUUCCUCAUCUGGAAAAUGAGCUGCUUUGGGAAUGGCACGUAGAAAAGGAGAGCAGAGGAGAACGGGAUGGCUAGCAUAACACAGGGAGGUGUUAUUCCCAUUUUACAGAGGAGGAAACAGACCCAGAAAGCAGAAAUGGCUGGGCGGGGCCCCCACAUCUAAUUCCAAAUGCCGAGUUUCUGUUCUCUUCUUAUGACUUUAACACAGGCAUGCCUUUGGUUUGAGACAUUCUUAUCUGUAUCUUGGAAGCCAUGCUGUGUGGCUCUCUGGUGGGGAGGAAGGCAUUCAAUCCUGCCCUGUCAAACUCCUAGCUCUUUACAGCGCUGGUCCCUCUGCCUGGAAAACUUGUGUUCAUAAUCCUCUCAAGGAGUCCUUUGUGCAUCCCCAGAGAGCAAGCCAGGGUCUGUGUGGACCUUUCCCCAUGGCAUCCUGUGCAAAUGUUUGUGAGAGACAGCCCUGCCUGCCGGGCCAUCUGCCUGUCUGGUACAUGAUCGAAUUUAAUAAAUGUCCAUUGGAUGGAGUAAUGACUCCCAUCACCCCCUGCGGGAGAGGCCCCAUAGGGGAUUUCAGGGCUGGUCCCAUGAAUUGAAUUACUUUGGCCAGCAUGAGCAAGGAUCUCUGUGUCUAAGGGUGGUACUCAGCCCAUGGUAAAGAGAGCAGAUGUGGGAAGUAUCUAACGGCAGCGUGGAGUGGCGAUCUUAUCUGUUACGCAGGGUGGGGAGGGCAGGGGAGACUUCUGAGCAGAGAGAAGUGGCUUGGAGACACCUCCGUGAGUCAGCAGGGUGCCUGGGAGGAUGUGGAGGGAGGAGGUACUUGCAUUGGCAAAGGCCUGGAACUAGGGCCCUACAGAGUUCCUGAAGCAGCUUCUUUACGCCCUGCAAAUCUGAAAGGGUAGAUGAGGUUCAGCUUAGCGCUUUCAGCAAGGAUGACACAGGUUGCUUGAUGCCCAGCUGCCUAAGGGUUAGAAUAGGGACCAGGACCUUGCCCGGGACACACGGCUAAAGACAAUCAAGAAUGAUGUCGCCCGGAACACAGGCUUGCGAGAGCACCUCCCUCAGGACAGACAGUGUGCUCACCUGGAGCCUGAUUCUGAGUGACACAUGAACAGGUCACUCAAUUGCUAACUGGGACAGUAGUCCCUGUGUUACAGGGUCACUUCAGACGCCACAGUAUUGAUGUCUUCAGCAACCUUGAGAACCUGGAUAACCAUGGAUGGAAGUUAAGUAGCAUUUCAGCCUCCCAGGGGCAGGGCUGAGCACUGAGAUGCCAAGCAUCCUUCCACAGGUCAGCACAGAAAGUGAUAGCCUUCUCACCCAUAAGGCCGGCAGGUGCCCUAGGGUCCCGUCUCUGCUCAGAUCCAGUUGGAUGUGUAUCUAUGGCGACUCCUUCCUACCCGCAACAUCCGCCAUGACCCAGGCUGCGCUUCAGCUGUGUUCAGGGGAGAGAUGUCAAACACCGAAGCCACCCUGAUCUUGCAGAAGCUGAAGUUAUCAAGUUUCUCCCAAGGCUCUCACAGGGCCUGGGACAAGAGGAGCCAUAGCCGAGGGAGGUGGGUCUGGUGGGAGGAUUUGUUCUGCCUAGUGUCUGGCGGCUGGUGGCUUUCUCCUCCCUAUGUAGACUAUGCCCUGUGACUCACAAUGCAUCUUCUAUUUGGGGCUGCUUUCUGGCAGUUUGUGCCAACACCAGGCAGAUUGAAUCUCAGGCCGGAACAACACAGCCCUUGUUUUAAAGAGGCUCCAUCGAUGGUCAGAGUCCCCAAAUUAGUGCAGAGCCUGCCACCCCCGACGUGGCUGCCUGUCCUUGCAGGCACCAACAAUGCACUCCUAUUGAGUGGCCUCAGCCUUGCGCUGGACCUGCCAGCUACCCCCUGGCCUCUCCUGAGCUUCAGUCAUCUGCCUUGGCUGGCCAGCACGUGGUCUGACUUGCCACAACCUUUUCAGUGACAAGGAGACAUAGUAUGACCGUCCAUCUCAACUUGCCUGUGAUAGAUGGCAUGACAGACAUCCAGUGCUAAAACGCAGGGAGGUCCUGGACAAAUGGGGACAAGUUGAUUACUAUGUCCUUGUGGGAGAAGGUAAGUCCCCGACUUCUGGGGAGACCCGAGAUUAGAGGAUAAAGUCCCUAGGUCCUGCAAGGACCACUGGCGAUUUCUGUCCAUCUUGGUCCUAAUAAUCACCAGUGUAUAUAAUUCCAGCUAUUGCUUGAUAGCUACAGUUUUACAGAGAGCUUCUCAUGGGCUCAGAAAGCAUGAGAGUGGGGGCCCCAUGCAGCCCAUGACACACUACAGAGAAGGCCCUUGGGUAUCCCAGAGCCCAGCUCCUGACCUUGUGGGGAACUGGACUGUCUCUCCUGGGACACAGGUUGUGACACUGAAGUAACACAUGUGUGACAGUUGACACACAGGGUAGUCAGAAUUGGACAAAAUCCCCCAUAUGCUUCCAUGAAAGAAAAAAGAUUAAAAUCCAUUGUCCCUUGUGCUGGGCCACGGUGACUCAAGAGUAUUCCCUUGGUUGAUUGUCUAUUUGAUACAAUGUAGACUCACUUGGGAAGGAAAGUCCCCACCAGGAACCAUCUAGAUUAGGUUGGCCUGUGAACAAUUUUCUUAAUUGGGGUAACUGAGGUGUGUUAAUGUGGGUGGUACCAUUUGAUGGGCUGGACCCUGGACAGAACGAAGAGAGGAGAGAGCUGAGCUGACGAUGCGCUUUUCCUGCUGUGAUGGACUGUAACCUGAAACCUUGAGAUGGCACAAACCUUUUUUCUUCUAAAUUGUUUUUGCCAGAGUAUUUUAUCACAGGAGCAGCAACUAAGGCACCUCGAGUCCACAUCUAGAAACUGACUAUGGGGGGUGGGGGCGGGGCAACCCAGCAACCACCCUCCCUGUGAGAUGGUGGCCCAGCUAAGACAUCCAGGGGACAUUCUCCGUGUGCUCACAGCAGGGGGUGGUGGUGGUGGGGGCUUUCUUGCCAGCUCAGGACCCAUCUCAAAUGGCAAGUGAAGGGGAGAGGUGCGAGCGAGAGGAGCCAGCCCCGAGAGUUCUCCAGUUAGCAAAGCGAAGAAACAUCUGGAGAAUGCAGGGAUGUCACUAUUAGCCACAGGUCAAUGCCAAGGCUGAGGCAAAGCCCAGACUGGGUCCCCCUGGUCCCCCUCUGCUGCAUGGCAACUCUGGCCUGGACCAUGUAAACACUAGCGUCUCAGCUCCCUGGGACAGCGGAGCCAGCCUGACUCGGGACAUUCCAAGCAGCGAUCAGAGCCCAGGGUGGACUUCUGUCCGUCAGUGU